GACAAUAAUAGGACUUCAUUUGUCCUAUGCUGUAUAGGCUCUUAGUCAAUUUCUUCAAUCACCAAAGUAGCCUCAUUUGGAAGCGGCAUAUCAUGUUUUAAGAUAAUUAAAGGGUACACAUGGGCAAUGUUUGUCAUUUGUCAGCAAAUCAGAAUUCCAUCUUAAAGGUUAUUGUGACGCAGACUGGGCUGCAUAUUCUGAUACAAGGAGAUCUGUGAUUGGCUAUUUCAUCUUUCUGGGCAAUUCAUUGGUAUCUUGGAUGUCCAAAAAGCAGCACAUAGUCUCAAGAUCUUCAGCUGAAGCGGAGUAUAGAUCCAUGGCUGCAGCAGUUUGUAAAUUGAGUUGGCUGAAGAAUAUUCUCAAUGAUUUGGGUAUUUCUCAUACAAGAGCAGCUCUAUUAUUUUGUGGCAAUCAAUCUGCAAUCCAUAUAUCUAGCAAUCCAGUAAUCCAUGAAAGGACGAAACAUAUAGAGAUUGAUUGUCAUCUUGUGUGAGAUAAAGUGCAAGCGGAGGAAGUGAAGACGUUACACGUAAUUUCAAAUGAACAGAUGGCAGAUUUAUCGACUAAACCUCUAGGGGAAGCAAGAUUUAAAGCUUUGUUGCACAAGAUGGGAGUGAGAAACAUAUACUCUCCAUCUUGAGAGGGAGUGUUGAACCAUGUCAGCAUGAGGAUAUUGAAGUUAUUGUACAUAUUUCCAUUUGGUUAUGUUGGUUAGCUAGUUGGUUCCAUGUGUAGAAAUAUGUGCCAUGUACCUCCAUUUGUAGUUAAUGAAUAAGAACAAACUUUCCCACCAAUUCUUUUCCUUCUCCAUUCUCUAGAUUCUUCCUGCUGCAACUUAUCAUAUCCUCUGUUUUGAUAUUUUAUCAAGUCACGUAUAUCAAUUCACCGACUAUGCUUUCGACUUACAGUUAGUAAUUGACAAUAUUCG
rnacentral:lncRNA from 1 species